CUUCCCCCCUCCCCACCCCCUGUGUGUGUGUGUGUGUGUGUGUGUGUGUGCGCACAUGCAUUUCAGAUCCAAAGUUGGACCUAAAUUCCUGCUUCCUGGACGCCCAAGUCUACUGAUUUUUCUAAACUAGCUUUCUAACUCAUCAUAUGAAUGUAGACAUGGAUUUUACUGGCAGAAAAGGAGAUCCUGGUUUGUUUGGAGGAGCAGUGGCUCCUGUCCGCUUGAGAAAGUAACUCUAAUCCUAGAGGAGUAUAUCACAGAUGAUAAAUAGUGUGAGGAUUAGAGAACCCAGGCACGUGUCUCAUAAGUGCAAAGUGGGACACUCUCAUUCUGAAGGUGUUGAAUACUCAUAAGGUACCAGGC
rnacentral:lncRNA from 1 species